rnacentral:lncRNA from 1 species
AAGGAAAGCUCCCUGCACCUGGAGACACCAUUUUGACCAUCUCUUUUGUGAGAUGUCAUGUGGUUUUUAUUAAUUUAGGCGCUGGACACCCUCUGCUGUGGCUUUCCCCUGAGCCCUGGAUGGCUGAUCAACUCAUUUACUCUGAGGAACUCAUGACUGAUCAUGGCUUGUCUGGAGACUGGAAACAAUGGGUGGGUCUCUCAGCCAGGGGACAUUCUGCUAAAUAAGCCAGCUGUGUCAAGAGCCUUCUUUCUGCCACCACUGUGGUAGGUGCAAUUCUACUAGCAGCCUUAGAUUUUGACAGGAAGGGCACAACCUCUGAAUAUCAUAUCAAAGGGUUUUCCUCUAUUUUACAAUAAAAAAUCUUCUAACUAAUUACUGUAUGCCAUUCACUACCAGCUAUCUGUACAUAUGCCCACAUGUGUUGCUGUAACAUACUC